rnacentral:rRNA from 1 species
UAGGCCCACCUAGUCUUCGAUGGGUAGGGGGUUCUGAGAGGAAGGUCCCCCACAUUGGAACUGAGACACGGUCCAAACUCCUACGGGAGGCAGCAUG